rnacentral:tRNA from 1 species
GGGUUUGUAGCUUAGUGGUAAAGCGCUUGUCUCACACACAUGAAGCACUGGGUUUGAUCCUCAGCACCA